UUUCAUUUUUCGGUGGAGUAUCUCUUUAAGGGAUCUGUAGACUUGCUGCACUUGUUAGCUGAUUAUCCCCCUCAGAUUGUAAUCUUGAUUGUAUUUCAGGAAACUAUUUCAUGAAGUUGGUUGAAAUGACGCCCAAUGGUGAAAAGAACCACAGAUCUAACUACUCAUUGAAGGUCUGCUGUUCUUCGUGGUCUUCCCCUGUACUUGAGAGAGCCAGCUUCAAUUUCAAAGACUAUUAAGGAUACUGAGGCACUGGGGCCACACACAAAGGCCAUUAAAUGGGGAUCCUGGAAGUGACUGACAGUUCUACCAACUCAGGACCAUAUCCCACAGUGGUCAAUGUGGCUGUAGUACUGGAGGAGGAAGUUGUCAUGGACAAUCUGGGAGACUUCACAAAUGCCCUCAUGAUGUUUGUUUCGGCACUGGUUGAAUACUUGUGUAAUAUUUUACUUGAGCCUAACAGGCAAAUUCAUAUGUAUUUAAAUAAAUACAUAAAAUGUUUUUUAUCAAAGCAUUGUGUGUAAUUUAUUUGAAAUAAUGAAAAAUAAAGUAUUUUGACCAAGAUUAAAUAUUUAAUACAACAUUUUAUUUCAAUUUGAGUCUGCUUGUUGGCCCAACAAGCUAUGUUUAGUCAACAGAAAAUAUUUAAUUGACACAACAUUCUAUUUCAAGUUCAGUCUACAUGCAGGGGUAGUCCGCACAACACAAAAAUGUUGGUUUCCGCAACUUAAAUUGGGCCAACUAAAAAUUUUAGGUGCAACGGGUCACUAGACAUUUUUAUGUUGGAGAGGCAUAUUUUUUUUUAC